rnacentral:rRNA from 1 species
CCAGACUCCUACGGGAGGCAGCAGUGGGGAAUAUUGCACAAUGGGGGGAACCCUGAUGCAGCGACGCCGCGUGGGUGAAGAAGUCAUUCGUGACGUAAAGCCCUAUCAGCAGGGAAGAAAAUGACGGUACCUGACUAAGAAGCCCCGGCUAACUACGUGCCAGCAGCCGCGGUAAUACGUAGGUGGCAAGCGUUGUCCGGAUUUACUGGGUGUAAAGGGCGUGUAGCCGGGUUGACAAGUCAGAUGUGAAAUCCUGCGGCUUAACCGCAGAACUGCAUUUGAAACUGUUGAUCUUGAGUACUGGAGAGGCAGACGGAAUUCCUAGUGUAGCGGUGAAAUGCGUAGAUAUUAGGAGGAACACCAGUGGCGAAGGCGGCCUGCUGGACGAUGACUGACGUUGAGGCUCGAAAGCGUGGGGAGCAAACAGGAUUAGAUACCCGAGUAAU